UACGGGGGAUGGGUAGCUGUUGUCGAAUGACUGGGCGUAAAGCGCGCGUAGGCGGAUCAGGAAGUUGGGGGUGAAAUCCCGGGGCUCAACCCCGGAAUGGCCUUCAAAACUCCUGGUCUUGAGUUCGAGAGAGGUGAGUGGAAUUCCGAGUGUAGAGGUGAAAUUCGUAGAUAUUCGGAGGAACACCAGUGGCGAAGGCGGCUCACUGGCUCGACACUGACGCUGAGGUGCGAAAGCGUGGGGAGCAAACAGG
rnacentral:rRNA from 1 species